AAAGCGUGGGAGCAAAACAGGAUUAGAUACCCUGGUAGUCCACGCCCUAAACGAUGUCUACUAGUUGUCGGGUCUUAAUUGACUUGGUAACGCAGCUAACGCGUGAAGUAGACCGCCUGGGGAGUACGGUCGCAAGAUUAAAACUCAAAGGAAUUGACGGGGACCCGCACAAGCGGUGGAUGAUGUGGAUUAAUUCGAUGCAACGCGAAAAACCUUACCUACCCUUGACAUGGACGAAAUCCUUGAGAGAUUGAGGAGUGCCCGAAAGGGAAUCGUUACACAGGUGCUGCAUGGCUGUCGUCAGCUCGUGUCGUGAGAUGUUGGGUUAAGUCCCGCAACGAGCGCAACCCUUGUCAUUAGUUGCUACGAAAGGGCACUCUAAUGAGACUGCCGGUGACAAACCGGAGGAAGGUGGGGAUGACGUCAAGUCCUCAUGGCCCUUACGGGUAGGGCUUCACACGUCAUACAAUGGUACAUACAGAGGGCCGCCAACCCGCGAGGGGGAGCUAAUCCCAGAAAGUGUAUCGUAGUCCGGAUUGUAGUCUGCAACUCGACUGCAUGAAGUUGGAAUCGCUAGUAAUCGCGGAUCAGCAUGUCGCGGUGAAUACGUUCCCGGGUCUUGUACACACCGCCCGUCACACCAUGGGAGCGGGUUUUACCAGAAGUAGGUAGCUUAACCGCAAGGAGGGCGCUUACCACGGUAGGAUUCGUG
rnacentral:rRNA from 1 species